CCCUUUGGAUGCACAUGCUUCUCUUUGUUGCUCCAUCCGUCUGUAUCCAUCAUCUCAGGCCUGUUUCUUCUUCUUCUAUCAGGUGUCAUACGUCCUGAUGGUACACCUGCAUUAAGAUUUUUUCUUGCCCUUUGGAUGCACAUGCUUCUCUUUGUUGCUCCAUCCGUCUGUAUCCAUCAUCUCAGGCCUGUUUCUUCUUCUUCUAUCAGGUGUCAUACGUCCUGAUGGUACACCUGCAUUAAGCUUUUUUCUUCUUGCCCUUUGGAUGCACAUGCUUCUCUUUGUUGCUCCAUCCGUCUGUAUCCAUCAUCUCAGGCCUGUUUCUUCUUCUUCUAUCAGGUGUCAUACGUCCUGAUGGUACACCUGCAUCAAGUUACCUGCCCCGAUUGCCAGAGUAAAGGCGUCCCCACACGCCGCCAUGGUGAUCCCCUGCAGUCCUGAGACUUUAUAUGGCACUCGAGUGGCUCUGCGGGAACUGCAGCCAAGCUGGCCGUGCUGGUUACUGCCAAACGUAAAACAGUGACCCUUCUCUGUAUACACAGUACACGAUCACAUAGAUAAGAUGAUCAAAUCUGACCAAAAAUCAAACAUUUUGAGCAUUAAUGUAGCUAAAGCAUUAGCAUUUUAACCUGUGACUGCAACAGAAUGUGCUGUUCCAAUGUCGACGUAAACAAUCUUCUCAACAUUUAGAGGAGCUGAUCGGACAGCCUGGAACAUAUGAACCUCCUCCACCUGACAGUGAGAUGGGGGCUCUUCUGUGCCGCCGGAGACCUCAUCCAAACCCAGUUUGUUAAAUCUGUAAAGAGAGAUGUGAUCAUUAUGUACUUCUCUGUAUAUUAGUUGUAGUGUCCAAGAAAAACAGUAUUGCUCUUUAACAAGAA